GUGUCACAGUGGGCAGAACAUUGGUGGUGGCCCAUGUCACAAUGGGGUAGGCAGCAUGGUUGGACCAGGAGGGGUGUCUCCUGUCUGUCUGGGAGACAUGCAAUGGACAGACCCGGAGGGGGGACGUGACCAGGCCAGGACCUCCAUAGCUCAAUCAGAGAGGUGAAACUUUCUACAAGGACAUUGCUGAAUUGUGCAUGUCCCAUUCGUGCUACUCUGAAAGACAUCACAUGAUAAAUAAAUAUUUCUCCAUUAAACUGCUCCUGUAU